rnacentral:rRNA from 1 species
CGAAGGGUGCAAGCGUUGUUCGGAAUCAUUGGGCGUAAAGCGAGCGCAGGCGGAUCAGUAAGUCAGGUGUGAAAUCUCGAGGCUCAACCUCGAAAUUGCGCCUGAAACUACUAGUCUAGAAUGUCGGAGGGGAUAGGGGAAUUUCACGUGUAGGGGUAAAAUCCGUAGAGAUGUGAAGGAACACCGGGGGCGAAGGCGCCUAUCUGGACGACUAUUGACGCUGAGGCUCGAAAGCGUGGGGAGCAAACAGGAUU